rnacentral:rRNA from 1 species
GCGGCCUAUCAGCUUGUUGGUGAGGUAAAGGCUCACCAAGGCGACGACGGGUAGCCGGCCUGAGAGGGCGACCGGCCACACUGGGACUGAGACACGGCCCAGACUCCUACGGGAGGCAGCAGUAGGGAAUAUUGGGCAAUGGGCGAAAGCCUGACCCAGCGACGCCGCGUGAGGGAUGAAGGUCUUCGGAUUGUAAACCUCUUUCAGUAGGGAAGAAGCGAAAGUGACGGUACCUAAAGAAGAAGCACCGGCUAACUAUGUGCCAGCAGCCGCGGUAAUACAUAGGGUGCAAGCGUUGUCCGGAAUUAUUGGGCGUAAAGAGCUCGUAGGUCGUUUGUCGCGUCGAUUGUGAAAAUCUGAGGCUCAACCUCAGACCUGCAGUCGGUACGGGCAAACUAGAGUGUGGUAGGGGAGACUGGAAUUCCU